GCUCCUCAGGGCUGAUCUCACCUCCAAACCAUCCUGUUCUGUUCCUUUUCUUUCCUGGGCUGUUCACAGGGAGAUCUACCCAUAUACAAAUAAGCAGCAGAAUUGAGUCCAGCAUCAACUUCCUUUUCCUUUCCACAUAUUCCCUCUGAAGGGUGUGUGGGUAUGCCAACCUUCACCUUGUCCAUGCCUUUGCUCUACAAAUACACUCACUUAUUCACAAGAAGAACAGUGGCUACUGAAUGUCCUCCCUUUGUUGUUGCAUUAUUCACUAUCCUGGACAGCAAGGUUUAGUACAGGGACCCUUGGCACUACUCUCCACAUGACAUAACUACAGCACUGUAGAGACAACCAGGGAGAAGCAACAACUGGCCAACUGAAGGAGCAAGUAUCCAUCUGAGAAUCAUUAAGAGCUGUGGUUCUAAAUGAUUCAGAUGCUUUCAGAUAUUCCACCCUAGCUCAGGAACCAGCCAACUGGGAGACAGCAGCCUGCAUUUGACUUCAUAAGCAUGACUAAGUUCUGUGCAGCUGUUUACUACCUACCCUGAUAAAAACCGCACCCAUAUCAGACAAACUGUUAUCAUCCUGGACCAUGCAUGAACCCGCUGAUACCAUUUGCAGACUCCGUUGCCAUGAAAGGAAUGCUGCACUUCAAGCUCAUGUCCUGUUUCCACUCGAGGUUUCGGUGCCUAAGCCUUUCUGUAUCGGUUUCUGUUAUGCCUCCUUUCCCUCAGCCUUUCCUGGGCAGAAAUCCUUGUACAAGAUGUAACACUGUAACUGCUACAUCUCCUUUCGUGCCUCGCCUUCUGUGAGCUGAACAUUAUUUGUGAAAUCUCCCAUUCACGGCAAUCCCUUCGAGUCUGGAGGUACUCAAACUCCUGGGCAAAAAAAACAGGAGCAAAAAGCAGCCUUCCUUUGCAAAAGCUUUUCAUUUUUCCUAAGUCAUGUUGCUUUAUGAAUGCACCCUCAAAGGCAGAAGAGCUGACUCAUCCACUGCUCUGGAAUCCAGGGAGUCCUCUGGGCCAAACCCAAAACCUUUAUAUGAGAUUCAGCCUGCAUCUGACAGACCCAAGUGUCACCCCUGAAAAGGGGAUACUCCAGUUUUCAAAGGCACUGGAAGGAUUUACCAAAGAGCAAACACAAAGAGCACCAGGCAGAGGUGAUCUGCGCCUCUACACACAUUCAAACUCCCAAUGAGAGGCAAGUAAAUGACACCAUCAACUGCUAUAUUCUGCCAUGGCUCUAACUUAACUCUGUCCAUAUUACACAGUGGUUUCAUGGGAGAAGAAUUCCUGACCCUUGGUUGCACAUUGCCCAUUUAAUUGUUUUAUGGUUGUCACAUGCACUUUUGGGAGGAAACCUGCCUGGUCUCUGCCCACAGCUAUGCAAACUGCUUGGGGUGACGUGCACCAUUUGCAGCCAGGCAACAGCUACAGCAACUGCGAGAUGAAACCCAGACAAGGCUAUGGACAUCUGGUACACAACUGUGCUACUCACAACAGCACCCUAAACAACAGGCUAGACCAUACUGCACCAAGCCCCCAGCCACCCACAACAGCAAAGGUACGUUCACUUUGUGCCCUCCUCUCUUUUCAGAUGGGAGAAGGUGUGAGGGCAGCAAGACAGAAUUAUGCAGCACCUCCCAGCCCUGGGCAAUACUGACAAGGAGGACACUGAGGGGGAUGCAAAGAGUGAGCAUGAAGAUUUAAAGGAAGCAACGGUGGGAUACAGGAGACACUUGUGUGAAGGAGAGAGAAAGCAAGCAACUGGCUGGAGAUACGGAUCAAUGAAGCAAAGGAGUAGGUCGAUGAAAGCUUGCUCCCACAUGCCUAUUACUCCAAGCACCAGAUCUAUGUGUUUCUGCCCAUCACCUGUUAAAUGGAGGUGUCUUACUGCUCUCAUCCCUGUUUGGCAUACCAUAAGGUUAUAGGUUCUUGGAGCCAUGAUACUUUGGUAAAAAAGGGCUACAUACAGAAAGAACAAGAAAGUUUUUUGCCGACAAUUCCUAUCCCCCAGUGAGUUUCCUUUGGUUAUCACAAGCCUGCAUGGGCUAUGUUGCUAUAGUACCCUCAACAUGUGUACCAGAUAGAGAUCCAGAUCAGCACACACAACUCCAACUUCUGCCCCAAGGGUACAAAGUCCUGAAACUUUUAGUUAACAGGUAAUCUGUCUCAAAAAUUAUAUUCCUAUUACCUCAGCUUCUCUACGGCAGAAACUCCCCAAGUGGCUUUUAGCUAGCAACACUUUCAGGCCCAUGAGCAAUGUUAGACACUUGAACAAGAAAGUUGUUGCAUCAGAAUUUCAGGCUCUCAGCACUUCAAACAGCACCCCAGGAAAAGACAAAGAACAAAAAGCCUGCAGAGUCUCCAGAGAUGCAUUUGGGAAGGAUACAGAGCCCUGACGUGAGUGAAAACUGAGCUAGGAAAGCUAAAUGCUCGACUUCCUACCUGGGGCCAGAUUCUUCCCCAGUCCAAUCUCAGUGACUGAAGAGGGGAGUUGCCCAGUCUCUAUUGUUUUUCUCAGGACAGCCAUAAACAUACAGAGGGUUCUGCCUGAAAGAAAACUGCACCAACACACCCAAAUAGAAAUUUAAGGAUGCAAGUUUGGGAAGAGAUUCAAGACCCAAAGCUGGCAAUGCCGCACUCCAAAUCGGAUACCACCGAAGUAUACAGGACUGCUUUCAUUCCCCAUCCACAGCAGCUACCAGACCCCCUCCUGGCUCCCUGAAAGCAGUAAAUAACCAAUAAUGCACCAUUUGAUACCUCUUCUAUUCACCACUCUGAAAAUGCUAAGCACAGGAUACUGAAUGCAAGAACUCAGCCAGUAAGUGGGGAAACCCGACUGCAGAGCAUGCUUCUUUCCAAGAUGCAGGUUUCCUCUGAAGUCUCCCUUCUGGAAGGCCAGAUGACAAAAGGAUUCUCAGCAUCAGACUGUUAUGGCAAGGCCAAGCAGAUUGCACUGACAGUUCUUUCUACACUAUAGGAAGAAAAUGCAUCAGAAAGUGUCUCUAAAACACAUCUUAGUUGAGAAGGGCUUGGUGAUAACUAUCUGUUUCUGAAAACUGGCUUAUAACAGUGAUAUUAUUGUGCAAGUUCAAUUCAAUACUGUUGAAAUAAAAAUCCUGCUUUGUGACAGUA